GGUGCUAUUUCUUUUGGCGAAUUUGUGAAUUUUGAUAUCGGUUCAAGUUUGGACAAGCAUGCAUGGCUGUCCAACUAACAAGAGGCUCCCCGACCCGACCCCGUCCUACCAUAGACGCACCAAGCAGCCAAAACUGCUGUCUGCCGCACGGAGACAUCGCUGAAUGCGACUACUGUAACGGCACAGUCAUCAAAUGAUAGCAGCGCUAUUACGCCCAACGUUGCCAUCAACUACCCUCUCGGGACCUAAGGAAACGAAGACACUGAGAGCACACGACCACGCCGCGGCCAUUUCGGGACGGUGGCUCUCCAGAACACUGCUAACGAGCCAAAGUAACGAGUCGUCAUUCUCGUGACGCCAGCGGUCGUCGAGCCCUCCGAGGUCAUCACGCCGGGCGAGGUCGUCACGCCGCUCCGUGAGUGGGAGAUAUGAUCUUAGGGGCGCUGCCACGGAGGCCAGUGUCGUGUCACUGGCGUGACGCGGCGUCAGGAGCCCCGCACAGGUCGGUGGCCCGUGUGGCGGUACGGUAUGAUACGGACUGAUUGCUCUGGGACUGGCGGGAGUGGUGUGAUGGGUGUGGUGGCGUCAGGGUGUUGCCUCGGGAGGAAGACGUGAGCUUUAAACCAACCAUGUCACUGCAAUGUUUGAUGACUGAGUACUUGACUAUGUGUGUGUAUGCCA